UCUUAUGAAUGAGUAAAGAAAGUAGUUUCUUGAGACAGAGUCUACUCCUCAUGAAGAUGCCAUGAA
rnacentral:pre_miRNA from 1 species